CAGUCGCCGCGGUAAUGCGAAGGGGGCUAGCGUUGUUCGGAUUUACUGGGCGUAAAGGGCGCGUAGGCGGGCGAAUCAGUCAGGGGUGAAAUCCCAAGGCUCAACCUUGGAACUGCCUUUGAUACUGUUUGUCUUGAGUUCGAGAGAGGUAAGUGGAACUGCGAGUGUAGAGGUGAAAUUCGUAGAUAUUCGCAAGAACACCAGUGGCGAAGGCGGCUUACUGGCUCGAAACUGACGCUGAGGCGCGAAAGCGUGGGGAGCAAACAGGAUUAGAUACCCCGGUAGUCCCUGUCUCUUAUAC
rnacentral:rRNA from 1 species